rnacentral:rRNA from 1 species
UAAUACAUGCAAGUCGAGCGAACAGAAAAGGAGCUUGCUCCUUUGACGUUAGCGGCGGACGGGUGAGUAACACGUGGGCAACCUACCCUAUAGUUUGGGAUAACUCCGGGAAACCGGGGCUAAUACCGAAUAAUCUCUUUUGUUUCAUGGCGAAAGAAUGAAAGACGGUUUCGGCUGUCGCUAUAGGAUGGGCCCGCGGCGCAUUAGCUAGUUGGUGAGGUAACGGCUCACCAAGGCGACGAUGCGUAGCCGACCUGAGAGGGUGAUCGGCCACACUGGGACUGAGACACGGCCCAGACUCCUACGGGAGGCAGCAGUAGGGAAUCUUCCACAAUGGGCGAAAGCCUGAUGGAGCAACGCCGCGUGAGUGAAGAAGGUUUUCGGAUCGUAAAACUCUGUUGUAAGGGAAGAACAAGUACAGUAGUAACUGGCUGUACCUGACG